rnacentral:tRNA from 1 species
GCCGACGUAGCUCAGCUGGCAGAGCAGCUGUUUCGUAAACAGCAGGUCCGGGGUUCGAAUCCCCGCGUCGGCUCCC